rnacentral:lncRNA from 1 species
GCUAUGGAUGAAAUGAAUGGAAAAGAAAUAGAAGGAGAAGAAAUUGAAAUAGUCUUAGCUAAACCACCAGACAAGAAAAGGAAAGAGCGGCAAGCUGCUAGACAGGCCUCCAGAAGUACUGCGUGAGUAUUUGGGUCUUUGAACAAGGAAUAACUUGGUAACAGAGAUCAGGUUAAUAGUACAAAAUUAGAAGAGUCUUGAAGUAAGAAGCUAACUGGCUUUUUCUUUUCUCCCUUCCCUCCAUUACUAGGUAUGAAGAUUAUUACUAUCACCCUCCUCCUCGCAUGCCACCUCCAAUUAGAGGUCGAGGUCGUGGUGGAGGUAGAGGUGGAUAUGGCUACCCUCCAGAUUACUAUGGCUAUGAAGAUUACUAUGAUGAUCACUAUGGUUAUGAUUAUCAUGACUAUCGUGGAGGCUAUGACGAUCCCUACUACGGCUAUGAUGAUGGCUAUGCAGUAAGAGGAAGAGGAGGAGGAAGGGGAGGGCGAGGUGCUCCACCACCACCAAGGGGGCGGGGAGCACCACCUCCAAGAGGUAGAGCUGGCUAUUCACAGAGGGGGGCACCUUUGGGACCGCCAAGAGGCUCUAGGGGUGGCAGAGGGGGUCCUGCACAACAGCAGAGAGGCCGUGGUUCCCGUGGAGCUCGGGGCAAUCGUGGGGGCAAUGUAGGAGGCAAGAGAAAGGCAGAUGGGUACAACCAACCUGAUUCCAAGCGUCGUCAGACCAACAACCAACAGAACUGGGGUUCCCAACCCAUCGCUCAGCAGCCGCUUCAGCAAGGUGGUGACUAUUCUGGUAACUAUGGUUACAAUAAUGACAACCAGGAAUUUUAUCAGGAUACUUAUGGGCAACAGUGGAAAUAG